AUACGAAGGGACCUAGCGUAGUUCGGAAUUACUGGGGCUUAAAGAGUUCGUAGGUGGUUAAAAUAGUUGGUGGUGAAAUCCCAGAGCUUAACUCUGGAACUGCCAUCAAAACUUUUUAGCUAGAGUAUGAUAGAGGAAAGUAGAAUUUCUAGUGUAGAGGUGAAAUUCGUAGAUAUUAGAAAGAAUACCAAUUGCGAAGGCAGCUUUCUGGAUCAUUACUGACACUGAGGAACGAAAGCAUGGGUAGCGAAGAGGAUUAGAUACCCUCGUAGUCCAUGCCGUAAACGAUGUGUGCUAGACGUUGGAAAUUUUAUUUUCAGUGUCGCAGCGAAAGCGAUAAGCACACCGCCUGGGGAGUACGACCGCAAGGUUAAAACUCAAAUGAAUUGACGGGGACCCGCACAAGUAGUGGAGCAUGUGGUUUAAUUCGAAGAUACGCGCAGAACCUUACCAACACUUGACAUGUUCGUCGCAACUCUAAGAGAUUAGAGUUUUCGGUUCGGCCGGACGAAACACAGGUGCUGCAUGGCUGUCGUCAGCUCGUGUCGUGAGAUGUUGGGUUAAGUCCCGCAACGAGCGCAACCCUCACUUUUAGUUGCUACCAUUUAGUUGGGCACUCUGAAAGAACUGCCAGUGAUAAGCUGGAGGAAGGUGGGGAUGACGUCAAGUCCUCAUGGCCCUUACGUGUUGGGCUACACACGUGCUACAAUGGCAUCUACAACAGGAAGCAAGAAUGCGAAUUUAAGCAGAUCCCUAAAAGAUGCCUCAGUUCGGAUUGUACUCUGCAACUCGAGUACAUGAAGCUGGAAUUACUAGUAAUCGCGGAUCAGCGUGCCGCGGUGAAUACGUUCCCGGGUCUUGCACACACCGCCCGUC
rnacentral:rRNA from 1 species